rnacentral:lncRNA from 1 species
CACGCACACACAUUGCAGUGUUGUGUCGCACAGAACGUUUGCGUACGUGUAUGUCAUACGUCACCACCCGGAAGUAUUUCUCCCGUGAUUUGAAACUUGCGUGCAAUUUUGCACAUUUUUCGUAAAGUCUUCAUACCCAGUAACGAGCGCCGCUACACUGUAAAUGAGUGAGAGAAACCAUUGACAUCUUGAUGCCAGCAUGAAGUUACUUCUACUCGCGAUAUUUCUUACCUCAACUGGUGGCGUGGGGGCUAUAGGAUGUUACGAGUGCAGUUGGGCCUCUAACACUGGUGAAAUGGCGGCCUGCAAGGACCCCUUCGACAGGCCUACGGCGGUGUCAGUAAAAAAUUGUUUUGGUUCGAGUGGAUGUUUUAAAUCCGUUAGUACUGUUGACAACAUCAACACGAUUAGGAGAGGGUGCCAAACGGAUCAAGACUGCAAGACGGAAACGUGUACUGAUGGGACAUGCAAUUACUGCUGUACCGACGACAGAUGCAACAGAGCAGGCGGGAUGACCUUUAACCUUCCCCUUGUGUCUAUCGCAACGAUUUUAACACGAGCGUUCGCAAUCUGAUGAGAUGAGAAAGAGAAUUAAGCACAAACUUGAACUGACACAGUAUCAGCGCUAGCAAAGGACCAACUCAUUCACGACGUCCGGAGUGGCAUGGUAACGAACUUCAGCAAUAACACAAAAUAUGACGCGCUACAUGGAGGACUCAUAUAACAGAAAACAUGAUUUCAAAAAAUGAACAUCAGCAGUUUACUGAAGUUUCUUGCACCAUUAGAAAACAUUUACUUACGACAAAAUGUUGCUCAAGACCUAGUCAAGAAAAGUACGUAAGCCUACGGUAUACAUGCGCUUCUGAAAGUAAUGUUCAUUAUUGCUUAGGAAAAAGAAUGUUUCCCCCGUUCUUGUGUACUAUCUAUCUAAAACAACCCCUUGCUACACUUCGUUGAUGUUCCUCAUUUUUGGGAACAGAUGAACUAUAUAUAUAACAGCCAUUCUGUCUACAUUUUAAAUUUUUUUUGAUACGUGCAUGUAUGCAUGCUAUUUUAUUACUGUAUCGUUCGUAGUUAGUGUCAUCGUACAAUAUAACAAUUAUUCAAGAAGACAAUACAGUAUAUAGAGACUGACAAUUUUGAGAAGUUUUAUUUGUGACUUUUAGUCCAGUUUUGCCUUAUAUACACCAGACUGACCUACCUAACUAUAAUAUUUAAAAACUGCGGUUCAAUGCGUAAUCGCUAAUGAAUUAACAAUAGAUUUUAAGUUCGCGUUUUGCCCUUACAAAACCCGAACUUAAAAUCAACUCUCCCUGACGCAAAGUACAUCUUGAAAAAGGUAAAUGUAUACACAAGUGUUAUAGAUUACAUUAUGCAAAUGGUGUAUAAAAGCGCAAUGUUGGUUCAUGUUGGUUUUUUAUGUUGACUUGCCAUAGGAAUUAUAUUCUCUCAUUUAGAUUAACAAUUAAAAAUCAGGAUCCGGAAUUUUUCAUUAAUUGUUAUUACCUGCUUCUCAGUAUACAUAAUGCAGCAGGUACAAUGUUAAUUCAUUGUAUUUUGAAACCUGCUAUUGAAGCCCCCACGAUUUUUGUGUUUUAAUUAUGAUUUGUCGUAGUUUCUAAUCGUUCUUGUAAUUCACAUUUGUGUAACAGAUAAGAUCAUGUUAUGGGUACGUAAAAGCAAAAAAUAACGAAGUUCAAGUAAGUUGUUUGUUAUUUUAAUCAAAGCUUUCUUGACUGAGUUACAGUAUUUAAAUUCCUCUUCGUCCAGCAUUGUAAUUUGCUACACGACACAGAAGUGCUUUCUACACUUUCCAAGAUGUACUGUGCUUUAAGGAACAUUUUUGUCACUAUGCAGCCACUAUUUCUGUAGGUAGUGGAUACCGCUGUUAACUACACUUAGCCUAUAGUUGACUGUAUCGGCAAAUGGACAAAAAAAGAACCUGCAUAUGUUCCUAAUUAAAGGGUCAGUGGUAUGAGUGUUACUUUCGGGACAUUUUUGUGCAGAGCUGUAGUGACUCGCGUCAAUAUGACUUGACUCGAGUCCGACUCUAGUUACAUUUUUAGUAACUCGACUCUCAAUGGGUAAAUAACUAGACUCGUCUCGAGUCACUACGAACUAACGCGACUCGACUGAGUCCCCAAUCAGAAGACCUUACUCGAGUGAACAUUUGUGAGUCAAGCCCCCCCCCGCCCCCAAAAAAGUAAACCACUCUGCGAUAAAAAUAUUCGCAGUGACUUACAGUGCCGGUUUAUAAUGUUCAUGUCAUGUGUUCAUAUCAUCAUGAGAAAGAUGUGGUGUGACUUAACAUUGUAGCAACCCAGAGGUUAAAUCUAAAAAAUGCCUCUAAAUGACAUUCUUGUUUUAAUUUAUCGUGUUGUGCUUAAAUUUUGCUGUGCAAAUUGACUUGACAUUUUUGCCUCAUGACUUGACUCAAGUCACCGCGUUGCAGUUAUUUUAUUCGAGUCAAUACGUAACAAAGACUCGAUUUUACUCGAUUCACAAAUAUUAAUGACUUGUUACAAUAAUAUUCUGUUCUGUAAAACUUUGUUCUUUUUAAUGCAACGUAUGAGAAAAUUCUAUUUUGGCUGCUGUCAAUAAAAUAAUGCACUUUUUCACCGUA